rfam:Triticum aestivum genome assembly, contig: Triticum_aestivum_CS42_TGACv1_scaffold_518268_6BS
CAUGUACACCCUCCGUCCGAAAAAGCUUGUCCCUCAAAUGAAUGUGUCUAGCACCGAGUUAGUGCUAGAUACGUCCAUUUGAGGGACAAGUUUGAGACAAGAUUUUUCGGACGGAGGAAGUAUAAU